GCCGCAGUAUCCUAACUGUGCAAAGGUAGCAUAAUCAUUUGUUCUUUAAUUGGGAACUUGUAUGAAUGGUCGGAUGAAGGAAGGGCUUUAUUAUUGUUAUUGAUAUGAAUUUAAUAUUUUAGUUAAAAAGCUAAAAUAGUUUUAUUAGACGAGAAGACCCUAUAGAAUUUUAACAAAUAACCUAAUUAGAUUAUUUGGCAAUAUAUUUUUAAUUAGGUUAUUUGUUUUUGUUGGGGCGAUAAUUAAAUUUUAUUAACUUUAAUUUUUAUUAUUCAUUGAUUUAUGACUAUUUUGAUCCUAUAUUUAGAUUAAAAGAUUAAAUUACCUUAGGGAUAACAGCGUAAUUUCUUUGGAGAGUUCUUAUCGAUAAUGAAGUUUGCGACCUCGAUGUUGGAUUAAA
rnacentral:rRNA from 1 species